CAUUGAUUGAAUUCAAUUCGUUCUAAGGCGCUAACGUUGUAACCAUCGGUUCAAUUGGUGACCGGUCAAGAUCUGGAUAUGCUCUCGAUGUGCAUUGAGAACACACCACUAGAUAUGCAUCUACAACACUCACUACUUGCCAUUUGGAUGGAUUAACAGUUCCAUCUCUGAUAGCGAAUGCAUCACGUCGAUCAAUCUACGACCGUAUGUACGUGAUCUUUACUGUGAGAGCCGGACCGAGGCUUCAUAUUGGCAAAUCAGCUCACCCAAGUGGCCAUCGAGGUGACCGGCAAUAGAUCGAGAGCAGCAGCAGCAGCAGCAGCGUAAUGGUGAUGAUUUCGGCACACCUACCGGUCCAACGCGAACCUCCUUUCCGCUAACGGGCACCCUAUGGCAUUACCCAGGGAGUGAGAUGAAAUUGAGUACGACGGAUUGAAGAUCAACACAACCAUCGCUCGGGAAUGCGCGACGAGCCAAAUUUGACUGCGAACGGAACUGCCAAACAACACUACAUGCUUCUUGCAAGUGGUUGCAAGUUGCUUCAAUAAUCUGAACUGACUAACACCCCGGAAUGCGGACGGCGAGGCGCUGAGUAGCUGACGCGUAGCGCACGUUCCGUGAAUUGUUCGUUACUGACGACGUCUUGCUCGGACGUCUUGUCAUCGGCGUCAUCACCGAUACGCCACCUAAUAGACCCACAGACAGAUCAUCCCAGACGCAGGAGGAAGCUGCUGUUCGUCCGGUCCCUCGCAUCGUUAACCAGCGCGCCACCGAAAUGGGCCACAAUUAGGCCUCCGCCUCCGACUGGUAGCAGCUGGGGUGCUCCUACUCAUUACGAACGUUAUAACUAGCGGGCGAGCUAGCGGGGGAGCAAACGAACGAUCAUGACCGACAGAGUAGUCACGAAGUAACGGCCACGACAAUCGUACGUCCACUCUAUUUCGUGAUGCAUGAACCAAUGUUUCGGUGGAGUGCUCGGGUGUACGCAAUGCACAUUAAAUCCAACCAGUGGUUAUGUCACCGCAGGACCCAAAAGUUUUAUCCAGAGCGUGCCCAUUGUUUUUGGUCCUUGACUGUAUCUGUAGACUGAUGCACUCCGUAAAAACUCAA